rnacentral:rRNA from 1 species
AACCAAUCGACUUUUUAUUAAGUCGUAAUAAAUUGAUGAAUUCUGAGUAACUACUUUAUUAGCGAACCGCAUGAUCUCGUAUCGGCGGUCUGUCGGUCAAGCAACUGCCUUAUCAGCUUGUCAUUAGGUUACAUGCCUAACGAGGCGUCAACGGGUAACGAACGAUUGGGGUCUGACAUCGGAGAGGGAGCCUGAGAAACGGCUACCACAUCUAAGGAAGGCAGCAGGCGCGCAAAUUACCCACUCCCGGCACGGGGAGGUAGUGACGAGAAAUAACGAUGCGGGGCCCUCAUGGGUACUCGUAAUCGGAAUGAGUACACUUUAAAUCCUUUAACGAGGAUCUAUUGGAGGGCAAGUCUGGUGCCAGCAGCCGCGGUAAUUCCAGCUCCAAUAGCGUAUAUUAAUGCUGCUGCGGUUAAAAAGCUCGUAGUUGGAUCUGGGUCUACGGCGAGCAGCCACAUAGUAUUGAAUGCUAUGUGUGAUUUGCUAGACGCGUCGUAAAAGUGCGUUAUACUCACAGUGUAUCGUACUGACGUAGCCCGUGCGUGUUUGUAUUGGUAUAUUCUGAUCUAAAAU